GGAAGUUGGUUGACUCGAAUCACUAUUCUGCUGGUGCUGCUGAUAGUUGUGGUAGUUGCAACUGAAGUAUGCAUCCUGGAUUUUGUGAGGCUCUCUGAACAGUAAAGCUGAAAAUGUAGUUCUACUCUGUGAUGCUUAGCUUCAUGUUUACUUCUUGCUCUUUGUGUAAUCAUGUUCUAUUGACUCGGAUUUCAGUUCCAAUAGUUUGUUUGUAAUCUGCAACAUUCAAUUUAAACUUAAUCUGUAACACUCACGUUUCCUUUUCCUUUCCUCUAACCUAACAAGUCUGGAUUUAGUUUUAUGCUUCAGCUUGGCAUUCAACUUGAAGCUCCAAUCUAUAUAUAUAAAGUGUUCCUGGGGCUGGGAUUAGAUUAUGCGGUGUUUGGUUUUGCUAGUCUAUUGUGAUUUCUUGUCUACUUAUCAGAUUAAUAUCCUCAGCUUUCUCUUAGUAUAUUUUGUUUUACUGGGACAAGUUGAAGAAGAAACUCUAAGGGAAGCAUCUGAAACUGUUGGGAUGGCUGUCAGGUUCUGUUCAGAAACUGCCGAGGAUGCAAAGCAAGCUGGAUAAAUGUCUGAGAGGGAAUUCUUGAUUAGAUUGAUGAGAAUCUUUCAGAAAACAGGAAAUAUGUAAAGCAAAGAUGGUGGUAAUUGAAGAAUGGUAUGCCUACAUUGCCUGGGUUCAAACCGAAAAGGUAGGCCAGGUUACUGCCUCUUACUCAAAUAACCCCUUUCUCUUAUAGGAGUUAAUUGAGAUCUAUAACAAAAAAAUGAAAUAUUCUUUUCAAUCUAGUUAUGUAGCGGUGCUCCAGGAGCACUUUAAUAAUCACCUCGAGUUCUACAGAGGGGAGGUCGUUAACAUGGUAAAGAAACUGUGGGAUGAUUAUGAUGGUCUAUGGUCAGUUGCCAUAGACAAGAUUAGCGUUUAGAAUCAUCUGUGGAGAUGUCUUGCAGUUAAAUCAAAGCUGAAAUGACUCUUGGUUUUUCUAGACCUAUGUUGUAAUAUUAAUCAUCUGUACCAAAAAGAAUGGAAGUUUUAUACGUGAGGGGAACCUAGAUCAUAUUUGUGAAUCUUUUUUUGUGAU